rnacentral:misc_RNA from 1 species
GUGAAUCAUCGAAUCUUUGAACGCACAUUGCGCCUGCUGGUAUUCCGGUAGGCAUGUCUGUUUGAGCGUCAGCAAACACCCUCGGCGUACGGAUGUUAAACCCUCCGCACGUCGGUUAUGGGUCCGGGAGCUGUGGGCACCGGCCCGCUCCCGCCUUAAACUUGCUGAAUGACCGCAGGCCGACAGCUGGCAAUGCUUAUGGAGUGGGUAUUCAUAUAUAAUUCCGUACUCUGCCAGCUUCCCAGCGGCGUUAAACCGUCCGUUACCUCUCUUCUGCGGUGACUGAAGUUUGACCUCAAA